UACAGAGGUCUCAAGCGUUGUUCGGAUUCAUUGGGCGUAAAGGGUGCGUAGGUGGCGGGGUAAGUCAGGUGUGAAAUCUCGGGGCUCAACCCCGAAACUGCACUUGAUACUGCCUUGCUUGAGUACUGGAGAGGAGAUUGGAAUUUACGGUGUAGCAGUGAAAUGCGUAGAUAUCGUAAGGAACACCAGUGGCGAAGGCGGCUCACUGGCCCGGUACUGACGCUGAGGUGCGAAAGCGUGGGGAGCAAACAGG
rnacentral:rRNA from 1 species